UUUAAGGUCGAGCAGAAGAGCUCAAAAAGGAAAGAGUGUGGUGGAUCUCAUGGGUAUGACAAUGCAUUCUUCUCAAUGAGGAGCAUCUUCAUUGCCCAUGGUCCUCAGUUUGCCAGGGGCCGUAAAGUCCCAUCUGUUGAGAACGUUCAGAUUUACAACAUAGUUACCACAAUCUUUAAUAUACAAGGAGCACCGGUUUGCCAGGGGCAGUAAAGUGACAUCUUUUGAGAACGUUCAGAUUUACAACCUGGUCACCACAAUCCUUAAUAUACAAGGAGCAUCCAAUAAUGGGACAACGUCAUUUCCGAAGACCAUUCUUUUACCUAGCCACUGAGACAUUUUUGACAAAGCUAAUUAGGGAUGGAUUCUUCAUGCUACGAGGUGAGAGAAUAUCAUGUGAUUUUUGUAUGCUUCACUGCAAUUAGAGAAAAAAAAGAUUGUUAUAGUUGAUUUAAGGUGAUGCACCUUUUGUACCUCGUGGCAUGACUUCACUUUUAUUGGCUUCUGGAAUUAGUCUAUUAGGUGUUGCAGCUUUUAUUUUUAUAGCUGGCCUAUUUUUAAAUUACUAGACUGUGGCUGCUGUGUAGAUAGAGAAUGAAUCAAUAAAAGAAUGUCCUUCGAUAUAUUUGUUUAACAUAUUCAUAUUUGUGGCUGUUGUGUAGAUAGAGAAUAAAUCGAUAAAAGAAUGUCCUUCGAUAUUUGUUAAACAUAUUCAUAUUCUAUCUUUUUUCUAAAUGAGAAGUUAUCCGUAUCCAUAUUCUAUCUUUUACUCCAUAUGUUUGGUAUGUAUUUUGUUAUCUAUCAUCUCGUUUCCUUUGUGCAUUUUUGGCGUUUC
rnacentral:lncRNA from 1 species